UAUACUUAUUUACAUAGCCAGGUAUAGAAUGUAAAAACAAAAUAGAAAAUUAGCUUGCUGUUGUGCUUAGGAGUAACCACAGGGGUCCAGGAAUAGAAGCAUUUUUUUUCUGGGUUACCCAGCCAUAACUCCCUUCCCAUGCUGAGAGGUAGAGUCUGGGUUCAUACAGUGAUCUUUCAACUUAACCACAGAUCUGGCCAAUGGGAUUCCAUCUCACAGCCUCCAGCCCCAGAACUGAACUGCAGAGCUUACCACAGUGUGUGCAUGCCGGUGAUCUAAAAUAAAUUUUGAGGGCUGUGUAUCA
rnacentral:lncRNA from 12 species